UUUUCUUUCCCCUUUAUGUACUUAGGGACUGCUGUGCCACUUUCAGAGUGAUGGACCCAGGACCUUAUGAAGCUAUUGUGGCAGAGGUUACAUCAGGAAACCUCAUGAAUUUACAUGCCGCUUGCCGGAAGUUCAACGAGGACAUGGUUGUUAAACUGGUCUUGUUUCACUGUAUGCGGCGGUUCACCAGGGAGUGUGUUUCGGAGCACCAUCCUCUGUAUAGCUCCUUCUGCCAGUUCCUCUCUUCUGCCUUCUCUGUAGUUGAUCAGAGUGACCUGGAGAAACUGAAGAACGCAUACAGAUUCUGUGGUAUCGAGCCUGCUAAUCCCACCAAGCAGCACAUCAGAGAGCACUGCAGGACAAAAGUGCCACAUCCCAGAGAGCUGGUCCAAAGAGUGGAAGAAGUGCUUCACCAUUUCUAUCUGGCAAAGGAUCCCAACAACAUCUUCCUUUUUAAACCUUCAAUGUUAAAAGUGUGGUGGAUUCAGCGUAUCCACAUCCUUAGAGGCUGCCUGAGUGACCCUGAGGUGGAGGAAGGAAUCCUCUACAGACACGGUGGAACCCUACAGCUGAAUCAUGUCAAGGGUGAUGGAGCUGCUGUGCCCAUUUGGAUCCCAAUAAGAGGCACUUCACAGCAGGAGGGGUUUCAUUUUCACCAGGCUCAGUGGGUAACGGGCAAUCGCGUCUCUCCUGAGUUGUUCCAGGUACAGGGUAUGACUGGUGUGGCACGCUGGAAUUAUCAGCAGCUGGUGGACCUGAAGCAGCCUGGGGUUGUCUUACCUGGAGUGUUUGACCCUGUUUUGAUGAUGGAGUUAAACAGGGCAUCUAUAAGAGUGACAGGGCAACCCAAAUAUCCAGCCUUGCACAUCUCCAACAGGGACACAGGAGAGAGGUUUGGCCUGCAAUAUGUGGAGCCAGGCUGUCGACCUGUGCCUCUUGACUUUGACAAACACAAAAGCAGGAAGACAGACCUAGGAGAUGUGGAGAUGCAAGAAAAGUCUUCAUCUGGCAUUCCGUUCUCAUUUCCAUCUCAGGAAUGCUUAAAGGAUACCUCUUCUGCUAAGACCCCUCUUGCUGCAGAACCAGAGGCCACACCACAGACUGUCAUUUUUCACCAGUUUUCCACUCCAAGUGCUGUGACAGUGAAGGAACAAAC
rnacentral:lncRNA from 1 species